rnacentral:rRNA from 1 species
AAACAUGUCUUUUUGAGUUGUAUUUAAAGUCUGACCUGCCCACUGAAUAAUUUUAAAUGGCCGCAGUAUUUUGACUGUGCAAAGGUAGCAUAAUCAUUAGUCUUUUAAUUGAAGGCUGGUAUGAACGGUUGGACGAAGUAUAAGCUGUUUCAUAUAAAUUUAUAAUAGAAUUUUAUAUUUUAGUUAAAAAGCUAAAAUUUUAUUAAAAGACGAGAAGACCCUAUAAAUCUUUAUAUUUAAUAUUAACUAAAUUUUUUUGAUUUAUUUUAUUUUUUUUUUAUUGAUUAUUUUGUUGGGGUGAUAUUAAAAUUUAAUAAACUUUUAAUUUUAUAAAAUCAUUAAUUUAUGAAUUAUUGAUCCAUUAAUAGUGAUUAUAAGAUUAAGUUACUUUAGGGAUAACAGCGUAAUUUUUUUUGAGAGUUCAUAUCGACAAAAAAGUUUGCGACCUCGAUGUUGGAUUAAGGUAUAAUUUUGGGUGCAGUUGUUCAAAAAUUAAGUCUGUUCGACUUUUGAAUCCUUACAUGAUC